GUAAAAUUUACAAUCGAAUGUGAAGCCCACAUAUGAAAUUAUUCCAACACCAAUCUGUCGCAAAAAUCCCUCAAGAAAUCUUGAUUCCAGGCUCAGAAAACAACAAAACGAACACCAAUUUACCUGGGUUCGACCCAAAACUUCCACACUUGGUUGCCACAAGUUUCACUCCACAAAGGAGACUACAGUGGUGGCAUAUGUAAUCCAUAAAGGAAGGAGAAAGAUGAAGGAAGACACCAAAAACACUCCAAGCUCUCUAACUCUAAAGAAAGUCGUCUGCCUCUCUUUUCUUAUCUUGUUUUCUCUCUUACAUACUACACACACCCAAAAAUACGGCUAAGAACAAAACAUAUAUAGCAAGACAUUAGGUCACUCAUAUGGAUUGGGCCACAAUCUUCUCUACAAAUGGGCUGCCACUUAAUUACAAAUAAAUGGACCUCACAAUCAAAAAACCAUCCAACCCAAACUUGGGCCAUCCAAAAGUAUAGGUCAUUUUCGAGUCGAGCCAAGUCCAUGGCGUUGAUAAAUUAUCCGAUAACUGUUUUAAAUUAUCGCUCGAAUUUAUUAGGUAUCAAAACCCAAUAAAUCUCUACCUUGAUACCCAAUAAAUCUGCAAGCAAUCAAAAUAUAAAGUUUAUACUUGCAUAACCAAGUAACCAAUAAAAUUGGUAUCACGGACCUUACCUAGCAUUUCCAACCUAAAACACAUACCAUACUUGCUCCGUGUACUCACCAGAGCUAAUAUCAAGAAUACCCAAGUAGAAGCAAAUAUUCAUAGUGAACAAUCAAGAGCAACUAAUCAUACAAUGAAGAUAUAUUAUAGGAUAACACACAUAGAUAUUUUUAGAAGCACGUUCACACAGAACUACAGAUUAACACCAAAUUAAUCAAACACACGGUCAAAUACAUACGCAAUAAAUGUUUAAAUGAUCCACGAAAAGAUCUUACGAUACUUAUCCUAUCCCAUUCCGUGAUAUUCACACCUUGAGAACAUAUAUCUACUCUCAUCGACCCACUAUGCUCACUAAAUUGAUCACUCAACUUAUGUCUAACUGUUGUUUCUCUAUUUACACCCGAUCUUUUAAGGUGUAUGUCAAGCAGUUGUACCCUACUUCGAGUUGUAACUUCCUGUGUAUGCGUCUUUGGGUUGAUUUUUGUGUUGCUUGACAAACUACCUAGUUCUCUGCUAGUCAAAACAACAUCCAUCUGUCCCAUUUGAGUCUUCAACUCUUUUUAUGCCAACUUUUUUUAUGGCGGCAUUUUGAUCUUGAAGAGUGGCUUCAAUUUUCCUCAUGAACUGAUUGUUGGCUUCCGUGUACAAACUGGUCUUUUUCAUUAAUUUUUCGAACAUUUCUUUCAGUUGAGGCUUUUUCUCUUGCUAUUGGAACUGUCCUUGUGGCCUAUUUUGAUUUUGAUUGCUCUAAGAGAAAUUAGGGUUUUUUUUUUCCAGACCAAAUUGUAUGUUUCUCCAAAAUAAAUUGUUCUGCUGGCAUUGUCCCCAUUGAGCAAAAUCUGCCUACUCUGUCCCUUGUAUUAAGAUUGGACAUUCUGCUAUUAUGUGUUCAGCUCUACAUUCCUCACAACUAACCUUCUUUGUCUGUGUUCCAUUAGCUAAUUGUGAUAUGUUUUCCACCUUGUGAAAUAGUGAAUCAAUCUUUGCAAAUAGGGCAAAAUAUGCAUCCACUUCAUAAACCCCCAGUGUCCUUUUGUGAACUUUUCGUUCUGAUGUCCACGUAGCUAAUGUAGUAGCUAUUGUCUCGAAUAGUUUCAGUGUUUCAUCAAUUGUUUUUGUGGACAACGACCCGUUAGAUGAGGAGUCAACCAUGUUUUUGAAAGUUGGAAGUAAUCCCUCGUAGAAAUAUUGGAAAUAGAGUCCCUUGCUGAUCUCGUGAUGUGGACUUUUCUGCAGCAUGUUUUUAAACCUAUUCCAGGCUUCAUCCAAGUUCUCUGAGUCGCCUUGAUGGAAAACAAGUAUGUCAUGCUUUAGCUUUGCAAUCUUGGCGGGCAGGAAUAACUUGGUGCAAAACUACUGUGCUAGAUUGUUCCAAGUAGUGAUGCUGGCGAUUGGUUGAGAGUCCAGCCAUUCUAUUACCUUCUCACGGAUAGUCUCAACAUGAUAGCAUCAUCUGAAAUUCCUUGAUAUUUGAAGUAUUCGCACAUUUCCAAGAAGCGAGAGACGUGUGUGUGUGGGUUGUCUUCAACUCUGCCGUAAAAUUGAUGUCCAUUUUGAAACAGUUGUAUCACAUUUGUCAUCAAUUGGAAAUUAGGCUGCCUAAACGAUGGAUCCACGAUGCUUAAUUGGCUUUGAAUUAUUUAGGGAGUCAUAAAGUCUCCCACAAGCAUGUUUCCUUCAUCUCCUACCCCUUUUUCAUUGGCUUGAAAAAUGGGAUUAUUUUGCACGUUCGCUAUUGUUGUUGUGCUUCCCUAGUCUCUUUGUAUUCGAUGAAAAGUUCGCUCAAUUUCUGGAUCGACUGGAAUUAGUUCUCCUCCAGUAGAUCUUAGUAUGCAAAUCUGCGAGAACAUCAAUAGUAGCACUUAGGUACUAAAAAAAUUGAAAUAAAA
rnacentral:lncRNA from 1 species